AGAACGAACGCUGGCGGCAGGCUUAACACAUGCAAGUCGAGCGCCCCGCAAGGGGAGCGGCAGACGGGUGAGUAACACGUGGGAAUCUACCCAUCUCUACGGAACAACUCCGGGAAACUGGAGCUAAUACCGUAUACGUCCUUCGGGAGAAAGAUUUAUCGGAGAUGGAUGAGCCCGCGUUGGAUUAGCUAGUUGGUGGGGUAAUGGCCUACCAAGGCGACGAUCCAUAGCUGGUCUGAGAGGAUGAUCAGCCACACUGGGACUGAGACACGGCCCAGACUCCUACGGGAGGCAGCAGUGGGGAAUAUUGGACAAUGGGCGAAAGCCUGAUCCAGCCAUGCCGCGUGAGUGAUGAAGGCCCUGGGUUGUAAAGCUCUUUCACCGGUGAAGAUAAUGACGGUAACCGAGAAGAAGCCCGGCUAACUUCGCGCCAGCAGCCGC
rnacentral:rRNA from 1 species